rnacentral:ncRNA from 2 species
GAGUUAUAAAGAAAGGUUCAGGGAUUAGACCCGUUGAGACCUUGGCAACCCUGCGACUUUGCAGAAGGUGCCUCAUUCUACCGCAGCAAUGUGGACAGAUAACUA